ACCUCCUACAAAGGCAUGUCUUUGAUCUCCUGUCUUUGGAUAUGUAAGACUUCUCCGGCAGAAAAGAAACGGGGAUUUGGAGAAGUCUGGGGCCAGGUUGCUACUCAUGGGCUCAGAUCAAUCACCUCACACAG
ensembl:snoRNA